CAAAAAUAUUAGGAUAGCAUGUUCCAUGUGCUACUUUGGUAUACUUAUACUCAAACAUUAUUUGUUACUUAUUUGAGAUUCUACUUUAACUGAACAUCUCUAUUGCAUCUGGCAAACUUAGAUACUUUGGAAUAAUCUAGACAGCCAAACAGGCUCAUCUCCAAGAAAGAAUGUAUCAUCAUAAUGAGAUUUCUGAACACACUACUUUGAAGAUUCCUCCAAAAGAGGAGUGUCUACCCUGCCCAGACAACCAUGUGGAAUUCAUGAAAUGAUUUUCUGUCUAGGCAUAUGAAUAAAGCUUGAGGAAAUAAAGCUUGAGUUUGGUGCAGUAAACAGAACGUGGGCAAUGUUUGGGGCCUGAUAGACUAGGGUUGAAAAUCCCAUUUUGUGACUCACUAAC